UACGGGGGGAACAAGUGUUAUUCAUCAUAACUGGGCGUAAAGGGCGUUAAGGUGGUUUUUAGGUCGUGCAUCAAUAAUUAAUAUUGAUUACGAAGAGCUUAGAAACUUGAAUAGAGUAGAAAUUUGUAGAAUUUAUUUUAUAGGGGUGAAAUGCGGUAUAGAAUAAAGACUAUCUACGGGCGAAGGCGACAAAUUAUACUUUAUUGACAUUGAAACGCAAAAGCAUAGGGAGCAAACAGG
rnacentral:rRNA from 1 species